rnacentral:lncRNA from 1 species
CCCAAUCCAAGCUUCAAUCCCUCAAUUCACUACCCUCAAUCCCUCAAUUCACUGCCCUUAAUUCUCUGCCCUCUAAUCACUGCCCUGAACAUGUCUUCAUCUUCGUCGUCUGUGCUUCGAUUCAAGGGCAAAACUUAACAUUCAGACAUCAUAUGUCCAUGUGGUGCGAAAACAGUGGUGAAACAAUCAGAAUCGACAGCUAAUCCUGGUCGUUAGUAUAUUCGAUGUGUUUUAUUGACUUAUUAGGUGCUAAACCAGGGUAAAGGAGCAUACGAGUAGGAAAAUGGGUUCGACGGGUCAAGCUGGUAGCUCGAACCAAUAGUGCUGGAAACAGGUCAUCAAAACAGAGCAGUAAGAACCUGUCGUGUGGCGCAACAAAGUCAAAGUCAACAGAAGUCAAAAUGGUCCUCGUUGCGCCACGCGACGGGGUAACGUGGUCCCGGCCAGGGGCGGACGUAAGGGUUGCCAAAGGUGAGCGGGCGCACCCCCGAAAAAAAAAAUUUAGUGCUAAGUUACGUCGAAAGUCCCGUCCGCACCU